CCCCUUGAUGAUGAGGAGCUGAUGGGCUACGUUCUUGCCGGCCUGGAUGAUGAUUACGAGCCGGUCGUCUCCACUCUGGUAGGGAAAAGCGUAUCGGUUCCAAUUUUUGAAGUCUACUCACAACUUCUGAAUUUUGAGU
rfam:Oryza punctata chromosome 3, whole genome shotgun sequence.